rnacentral:rRNA from 1 species
UUGUACAGCCAUACCACCCUGAAUAUGCCCGAUCUCAUCUGAUCUCAGAAGCUAAACAGGGUUGGGCCUGGUUAGUACUUGGAUGGGAAACAAAAUAAGUAAAAUUAGAAUUUGGGUCUUUAAUGUAAAAC